GGAGGAUCCGAGCGUUAUCCGGAUUUAUUGGGUUUAAAGGGAGCGUAGGCGGAUUGUUAAGUCAGUUGUGAAAGUUUGCGGCUCAACCGUAAAAUUGCAGUUGAUACUGGCAGUCUUGAGUGCAGUAGAGGUGGGCGGAAUUCGUGGUGUAGCGGUGAAAUGCUUAGAUAUCACGAAGAACUCCGAUUGCGAAGGCAGCUCACUGGAGUGUAACUGACGCCGAUGCUCGAAAGUGUGGGUAUCAAACAGGAUUAGAUACCCUGGUAGUCCACACAGUAAACGAUGAAUACUCGCUGUUUGCGAUAUACAGUAAGCGGCCAAGCGAAAGCAUUAAGUAUUCCACCUGGGGAGUACGCCGGCAACGGUGAAACUCAAAGG
rnacentral:rRNA from 1 species